CCGAUUCUCUCUAUGGACUGGGAACCAGUGCUGCGGCUUCAGGGAGAAAUUCAGCCACACUGAGACCAGCACCUUACUCAAAUUUCACUCCUUCUGGGCUGGUCCAGGAGACCCCAGCUUGGGACAGGGCCUGUGGCCCCUCCAGCAGCACGCACUGUGCCCACCCGCCACUGGUGAGGAGAUUCCAGGAGAAACACUGCCACCCAAGCAGCACCCCACAUGGCUGGCCUCCCCGCACCGGGCCGGCACCCCACAGUGCCAGUCACCCACCCCACUUGGCUGGCCUCUCUACACCGGGCCGGCACCCCACAG
rnacentral:lncRNA from 10 species